rnacentral:rRNA from 1 species
UACAGAGGGUGCAAGCGUUAAUCGGAAUUACUGGGCGUAAAGAGCACGUAGGUGGUUUGACAAGUUGGGUGUGAAAUCCCCGGGCUUAACCUGGGAACUGCAUUCAAAACUAUCAAACUAGAGUAGAGUAGAGGGAAGUGGAAUUUCCGGUGUAGCGGUGAAAUGCGUAGAUAUCGGAAGGAACACCAGUGGCGAAGGCGGCUUCCUGGACUCAUACUGACACUGAGGUGCGAAAGCGUGGGGAGCAAACAGGAUUAGAUACCCGUGUAGUCCCUAAGACUGCCAAGGCACACA